rnacentral:lncRNA from 1 species
ACAUUUUCAUCAAUAGAGAAAAGCACUAGCGGAAACAUACACAAACGGCUUACACGAGGAUAAGCAAUAGCCACGAGUGAAAGAAAAAGGAAACUAAACAUUCACUUGUACUAUGAUUCAUUUUUUAUCAUAUACAUUGCAUUCAUCUUGGUCAUUUUCGAAUUCCUUACAUUUCAUUUCAUCAUUUCUUUCUUACAUCACAUUUACCUCAAAAUACACAUUACAUUCUUUUCUUUACAUCACUAACCAUCAAGUACAAAAGAUGAUAAAGGGUAACUACUACAAAAUGUAAACCCAACUCUGGUGGCCUCUGACUAAGGCGCGAUACCUUUACCUCGGUCGCUCGCCGGCUCGCUCGGUCCCGGCUCUGU